rnacentral:rRNA from 1 species
GAUUAGUGGCGAACGGGUGAGUAACACGUGAGUAACCUGCCCUUAACUCUGGGAUAAGCCUGGGAAACUGGGUCUAAUACCGGAUAGGAGCGCCUACCGCAUGGUGGGUGUUGGAAAGAUUUAUCGGUUUUGGAUGGACUCGCGGCCUAUCAGCUUGUUGGUGAGGUAAUGGCUCACCAAGGCGACGACGGGUAGCCGGCCUGAGAGGGUGACCGGCCACACUGGGACUGAGACACGGCCCAGACUCCUACGGGAGGCAGCAGUGGGGAAUAUUGCACAAUGGGCGCAAGCCUGAUGCAGCGACGCCGCGUGAGGGAUGACGGCCUUCGGGUUGUAAACCUCUUUCAGUAGGGAAGAAGCGAAAGUGACGGUACCUGCAGAAGAAGCACCGGCUAACUACGUGCCAGCAGCCGCGGUAAUACGUAGGGUGCGAGCGUUAUCCGGAAUUAUUGGGCGUAAAGAGCUCGUAGGCGGUUUGUCGCGUCUGUCGUGAAAGUCCGGGGCUUAACCCCGGAUCUGCGGUGGGUACGGGCAGACUAGAGUGCAGUAGGGGAGACUGGAAUUCCUGGUGUAGCGGUGGAAUGCGCAGAUAUCAGGAGGAACACCGAUGGCGAAGGCAGGUCUCUGGGCUGUAACUGACGCUGAGGAGCGAAAGCAUGGGGAGCGAACAGGAUUAGAUACCCUGGUAGUCCAUGCCGUAAACGUUGGGCACUAGGUGUGGGGACCAUUCCACGGUUUCCGCGCCGCAGCUAACGCAUUAAGUGCCCCGCCUGGGGAGUACGGCCGCAAGGCUAAAACUCAAAGGAAUUGACGGGGGCCCGCACAAGCGGCGGAGCAUGCGGAUUAAUUCGAUGCAACGCGAAGAACCUUACCAAGGCUUGACAUGUUCUCGAUCGCCGUAGAGAUACGGUUUCCCCUUUGGGGCGGGUUCACAGGUGGUGCAUGGUUGUCGUCAGCUCGUGUCGUGAGAUGUUGGGUUAAGUCCCGCAACGAGCGCAACCCUCGUUCCAUGUUGCCAGCACGUCGUGGUGGGGACUCAUGGGAGACUGCCGGGGUCAACUCGGAGGAAGGUGAGGACGACGUCAAAUCAUCAUGCCCCUUAUGUCUUGGGCUUCACGCAUGCUACAAUGGCCGGUACAAUGGGUUGCGAUACUGUGAGGUGGAGCUAAUCCCAAAAAGCCGGUCUCAGUUCGGAUUGGGGUCUGCAACUCGACCCCAUGAAGUCGGAGUCGCUAGUAAUCGCAG